rnacentral:rRNA from 1 species
GAUGAACGCUGGCGGCGCGCCUAAUACAUGCAAGUCGAGCGAAUGGAUUAAGAGCUUGCUCUUAUGAAGUUAGCGGCGGACGGGUGAGUAACACGUGGGUAACCUGCCCAUAAGACUGGGAUAACUCCGGGAAACCGGGGCUAAUACCGGAUAAUAUUUUGAACUGCAUGGUUCAAAAUUGAAAGGCGGCUUCGGCUGUCACUUAUGGAUGGACACGCGUCGCAUUAGCUAGUUGGUGAGGUAACGGCUCACAAAGACAACGAUGCGUAGCCGACCUGAGAGGGUGAUCGGCCACACUGGGACUGAGACACGGCCCAGACUCCUACGGGAGGCAGCAGUAGGGAAUCUUCCGCAAUGGACGAAAGUCUGACGGAGCAACGCCGCGUGAGUGAUGAAGGCUUUCGGGUCGUAAAACUCUGUUGUUAGGGAAGAACAAGUGCUAGUUGAAUAAGCUGGCACCUUGACGGUACCUAACCAGAAAGCCACGGCUAACUACGUGCCAGCAGCCGCCGUAA